AACUGAGAGACAAAUUAAAAAAAAACAUAUAAUUAAGGAUGAUGAAUUUUUGACAAAGCAGACUGCAGAUAGACUCAGAAUAACUAUAAAAUCAACAUUUGACUUAAUUUAUUAUUUACUUAAUGAAUGCAAUUUUUCAUUUGUUUUAACAAAUAAAAUGAAUCAAGACUAGAGGUAUUAUUUAAUUUUUAAUAUUAAUUAUAAACUAAUGAUCUGACAUAAACAGUAGGUACUUUACUAAAAAUAAAACAAAUAUCAACAAAUACCUAACUAACAUAUUUAAUUAUUACAUUAUGUAUCAAUAUUUUCUUUCAAGAGAUUUUUUGGGAUUAUCAGACAAGUUGCAGGACCAAUUAAUGAUCACCCAUCAACACCAACAUACCUACAAUUAUAUAGGAUAUUAUCCGUUUAUUCAUUUAUAAAACUUCUGAAACCAAAAAUUGUACCAUCUUGAAGAUAUAAAAAUAUAGGUAAAAUCAAUAUUUUUAGUAAAUCUAUCAACUAUUGCAAACCUCACGUAAAAACAGUUCUAAGCAACACUAUACACUAAUUGUUUACUUGAACAAUUAUUACAAUCCAAUAAUCAAACUAUCCAACCAGCUAGUUUAAGUAACACGUUUCACAAUUUGUCACUUAAUUCCUUAGAAGACGUUGUUGAAAUGAAAAAUAAGUUGAAAGAUCCAGGUUAUCUAUCACAGCAUUUAAUGUAAAAUUGCUUAAGACAAUGAAGGUGCCGAAAUAGUCUACAAGAAACCGUCACUAUAUUACUAAGAAAGGUAAUGAGUGAUACAUGUGCUCAAUAUUAUAACUUUGAUGGAGAGGACAAUGCGAAAAAUCCAUUUAAAGAAUUAACUCUUAAUUCUAUCAUAAUAGUACUACAGUAAAUGGAAAAUAUAAGAAUAUAAAAACAUGAAUAAUUGUUGCAAUACAGGUACUGUUGUUUGGUUUAGGUACUAAUUUUUAUCAGUGUCCAUUCUGAUUGUUCUAUUCUGUGCUACAACUGGUAACAAUGGUAUUGACGGGGCACCGAAACUUCGGGAACGCUGCCCUAUGGGUGUUUAGUAUAGGGAUGGCCUAUCCAUUACACAUUAUCAAUGGUAAUACCAAACCAUUAACCAAUCAUCAGUUGUAAAUUGUAAUAGAUUAUCAACCACAUACUGGAUUAGCAUUUAAUGACGUAAAGUAUAAUUAGUCACCUACGUUGGUUCACAAUUAUAUAUGCCGCAAGAAGUACACUGUAUUUUGUAGGAAGAGUUUUAUUCAUUUAAUAUUUCCGGCAUCCGUGUAAAGGUGUAGCAGUUCUCACUGUAUUUUGCAGUGCUUUUGAUACACUUAAAUACAAUUUGGUAUUGUUUAAAUUUGCCAGUUUACACUUAUCAGACGUUUGAGUGUUAGACGUUUUUAAUAACUUGUUUGGAACAUUAUUAAUUCAACACUGUUGAUACACAUUGAGAAAAAAUGGAAACUUUGCCCCCAGAAAUGAUCACAAAAAUAUUGGAAUAUCUACCAUUUGGUGAUCGACGAGUUGCGGCUAUGGUCAAUAAAACAUUUUAUUAUGCUGCAAAUCACCCAAUGUUCUCAAGAAAAGAAUGGUUUACCUAUCGGACAUUAGGGGUCGAUUUGAAGAAAUUUAAUGAUUUCAAAAAAAUGUUGAUGAACUCAAGAAGAAAACUACUUUGUUUGAAAUUUGUUGAUUUUACUUAUACAGACGAUUUAACAAUUUUUACAUACUUAGGGAAUCGCAUUAUAUCACUACAUUUUGAUAAUUUGAAUUAUCUAACUGAUUCAUUUCUAGAUGCUAUUUCCCAAUGCUGUGUAAAUCUUGAAAAAUUAGAAUUUGUACGGAUACCGAAUUUUUCCUUAAUUAAUAAGUAUGAACAGGAAGAUGUUCAGAUAUUCAAAUUGUGCACCUCUAAAGUAGAACUUGAUCCAGUAAAAGACGAAAUGUUAAUUAUAAGUUUGUUACUAAAUAUUUACGAUUUUGAUGACUGCUGUUUUUUUAAGUCAAUAAUUGCAUAGGCAUAUCAUAAAUAUAAAUUUAUAAUUAUAGCUGUAACAAAAUUUAACUGAAACAUAAAGUAAAAAAUUGUAAUAAUAAGUAUUACGUUUAAAAAAAUUAGAAUUAUAUAAAAAAAAUUUUAAUUUUUAAAAGUAUUAAUUUACUAAAGUACAUAUUUUAUGAAAAUAACAACUAUUUUUUCACAUUAAUAAUUUUUAAUUAUUAUAGUAUUGUUAAUGACUAAUAAGGUAUUUGAUUAAUUUAAUAUUUUGUAUUUUUAGUUUACAUCCAUAACAUUGUUAUAAUAAAAAAUACAUUUUAAGUGCUGUAUUAUUAUUUGCUACUAUGGAAAUCUUACUUUCGAUUGGAUACUUAUUCGGCUUUUUGUCAUUAUCAUUUUAGUAAAACAUUCUAUUGUAGUAUUUUCAGUGCAACCUUGAUAACUCAAAUUGGUUGAGGAUGAAAAAAAAUUUUGAGUUAAUCAAAAGUUCAACUUAUAGAGGUUUGAGUUAUUGAAGUUCCAAUGUAUUUAAGUACUUUCAUUAACAAAAUAAAUUUAAUUACAAAACACUAUUGUUUAAACUAACCUGCUGUACAGUAUAAUAUAAGUGUAGAGUAUAGAAUUUAGAUCACUAUAAUGGUUGUUUCAAACUUGAAUUUAAUGAUUAACUAUUUAGUACAAAAAUCAGUCUGAUCGAAGGAGUUUAAUUAGCCUGUUUUAUAAUAAUUUCCUAUAAUUUAUUUUUAAGUUUUUAUAUUGUUAUUAAAUUUAUAUAUUAUUAUAGAUACAGUAUCUAAUCUGGCAAGGUAAUUAAU